AGACAAUAGCAUAGUUUUUGUUCAUCAGGAAAAGUCCCAGGGAUUGUGUAAGUCACAGGAAACAGUGGGGCAGGAGGGCAGGAUGUACUGCUAUUAGUAGAUAGUGGAAUUGAGAGAUCUUUGAAAGCUGCGUUACCAUAUUUGGAGAAGUUAUUGCAGGGUUAACGCUACCUCGGAGGAAAAAGAAUAGGAGCUUUCCUCAAAUGACCACCGGACAGCAGAAAAAAGACCCCUAGCAACACGCCGCGCAGAUGCAGAGCACGUCGAGAAUAUCACAAAGUCCGGAACUGAAGGGGUAUAAGAACUGAAAGACCGGGAGGUGCGGUGCGAGCCAUUGGUGGGAGCAGAGGCUCCCCGGCCGCCCAGCGCUGCAUUUGCCCGUACUGCUUGCUUGCUAAAUUAAUAAAAUUCUCUUUAUAAAGUGACACAAAUUGGUCCCGUGUCAUAAUUUAUAACAAUAUUUGGUGCCGUGACUCGGAUAGAGAAAUAGCCUGGUUGUUCUGGGACCCUCGGGAGGCGCCCCGCCUUUUUUUUGGCGGCCCGAUUGUCCCAGACCUCCCGGUCUCUCUACCGACGAACCUAAAUUAAGCUGCGGGCAAAGGAGAGCCGGUUAAAAGGAGAACCGGUUACCCCUGUAAACUUUGUGCACGAAGAUCCGAGCGAAGACGCAGGACGCAAACUGCUAUCAGAACAGCUGAGAAGGGGUGGACUCAUGCGAGCCACGUCAAAGGUCCAGUCACCACAGACGACCACUGGAAAGUGACCAGCCAGCCUGGGGACUUGAAGGUUACCAUUAAGAGAAACUGAUGAACUCUGUAUACAUCAUUCAAGUCGGUCACAAAGGGGAGCAAGAGGGAUAUAAUUACCUGCUUGUUAGUGAUUAUUUGAUAAUUUGUAAUAAGGUAAACUGUGAUUGUUAUCCUUUUGUAUGCUUUGCAUGUAAAGUUUGCCAAGAACGGUGGGGAGUCCAGUGCCGAAGGGGGAGGCUGCCCACUGGGGUUUGUACAGAAUGUUACACGACUGAACGAGAAUUAACCGAAGCUGUGUUGAAAUUAGGGGAGUGGGAAAUCAGUGGAUUCCCUUUGAAUCUGAGGAAAAUUUACACCAGAGGGGUGCAUCCAGAAAACUUUUGUUUCCACUCUAACGAGCCCCCUCCAUUUGUUGCCCAAAUUAUAAAAGAGUGUUGUCGGAGGGAACUAAAGGGGGUCCCGUGUGACCCACCCCCGGUCAAGGAUAAGAACUGGGAACAGUACAAAGUUAGGCAGGAGCAGGGGGAAUGGGCGCUCAGGCGAGUACCGCUGCUGCCGAGAAGAUGGUUUACCCCGCGGCUCGAAGCACCCGAGUCGGCGGGCGAGGCAGAGGGGAAAGAGCCAGGCCCCCAAAAAUAGAAUAAUGCUGAAAUGUUCCAACUAUUGCCAGCCAAGUACUAAGUUCCUCCAGAAGACCAGUCUGAUUACCCCCGAGACACCAACAGGGCAACAAACCCAAAAGGGGAAAAUAAGACAUUAUAUAGUAAAUGCAAGGUCAGGACUCCACCCUUAUUGACAAAUUACUGGUAUUACAAUUUUUUUUUUUACCCUAUACUAAGGAGAGGGCUCCCAAGCUUUACAUCAACCUUUUAAGUGGACACUAACCCGAGUGGAUGGUGUGGGAAUUCAGAACCAGAUAACAUCCAGAUCCCCUAGUUUUAACCCACAGUUAUGUGAACUAGCCCCUAUAGAGCCUUGUUUGGAUAGAAACGGAUUUUAUAUGUGCCCAGCAUCAAACCCAGGGAAAGGGUAUUGCAACUACCCUGGAGAAUAUUUCUGUGGGCACUGGGGCUGUGAAACAAUAGCUUCAGAUUGGUCAGUAGCAGGAGAUAAAUUCCUUAAAGUAUCAUGGAGGCCUUAUGGAUAUAAACCUCUGCAGAAGGAUUCCAGUGGUAAAAUUGUGAACUCAGAGAACUGUCAUUAUUAAGGAAAGGCUAGAAGCAUCACACCUGAUGCUGAUUAGAGCAAAAUAUGAGUCAAUACCAGAAAACCUAGAAAUGGAAGAGAUCCUAGUUAUAAGCCACCAAGAAUUACAAAGGUUUGAUGAACAAAAUGAUGAAAAGACAAAAGGGGGGAUUUGUGAAAGACAAUAGCAUAGUUUUUGUUCAUCAGGAAAAGUCCCAGGGAUUGUGUAAGUCACAGGAAACAGUGGGGCAGGAGGGCAGGAUGUACUGCUAUUAGUAGAUAGUGGAAUUGAGAGAUCUUUGAAAGCUGCGUUACCAUAUUUGGAGAAGUUAUUGCAGGGUUAACGCUACCUCGGAGGAAAAA